GACGAACGCUGGCGGCGUGCUUAACACAUGCAAGUCGAACGAAGUGGCGAACGGGUGAGUAACGCGUAAUCAACCUGCCCUUCAGCGGGGGACAACAGUUGGAAACGACUGCUAAUACCGCAUACUGAAGGAGGGGAUUGCGUCUGAUUAGCUAGUUGGGGGGGUAACGGCCCACCAAGGCGAUGAUCAGUAGCCGGUCUGAGAGGAUGAACGGGCAAAUUGGGAAUGAGAAACGGCCCAGAAUGCUACGGGAGGCAGCAGUGGGGAAUCGGCCGAAAUGGAAGAAAGGCUGACGGAGCAACGCCGGGGGAGUGAUGAAGGCCGUCGGGUUGUAAAGCUCUGUUAAUCGGGACGCGGUACCGGAAUAGAAAGCCACGGCUAACUACGUGCCAGCAGCCGCGGUAAUAC
rnacentral:rRNA from 1 species